UGACACUAAGAAAGUCUACUCACUCCAGGUAGAGACCCCAUCCUCAAACAAAGAGAUGCCCUCUGGAGACAUUAAAAAAGGUAAAUCUCUCCUUCAUGGCCCAGGGUGAGUGACUUCUCAUCGAAUGAUUUUAAAGGCUGCAAUAGAGUUUGGGUCAGAACUCUGAAGUAUAAAAAUGUCAUUUGCAGCUGUUGUGACCAGGACAUUGUUAACCAAGGCUACCCCAUGGAGAGUGAACUUUGAGGAGAAAAUUCUUCAGAGUCAAGAAUAAAGCUGAAGUUUCUGGA